GAUAAACGCUGGCGGCGUGCCUAACACAUGCAAGUCGCACGUCCUGUCGCCUCGUGCGGCAGGGAGUGGCGGACGGGUGAGUAGCGCGUGGGUAUCUACCUUGGGGUGAGGAAUACCGGCGAGAAAUCGCCGACAAGACCGCAUACGCUUCGCUUCGCAAGAGGGGAAGCAAAGUCGCAAGACGCCCGAAGAUGAGCCUGCGUCCGAUUAGCCUGUUGGUGGGGUAAAGGCCUACCAAAGCGACGAUCGGUAGCUGGUCUGAGAGGACGAUCAGCCACACUGGGAUUGAGAACGGCCCAGACUCCUACGGGGGGCAGCAGUGAGGAAUUUUCGGCAAUGGGGGCAACCCUGACCGAGCAACGCCGCGUGCAGGAUGAAGGUUUUCGGAUCGUAAACUGCUUUUCUGGGGGAAGAGAACGGACGGUACCCCAGGAAGAAGCCCCGGCUAACUACGUGCCAGCAGCCGCGGUAAUACGUAGGGGGCGAGCGUUGUCCGGAGUUACUGGGCGUAAAGGGCGUGCAGGCGGUCGGCCAAGUUUGCCGUGACAGUGCCCGGCUUAACCGGGCAAGGGUUGGCGAAGACUGGUUGACUUGAGGGCCGGAGAGGGACACAGAAUUCCGGGUGGAGUGGUGAAAUGCGUAGAUAUCCGGAGGAAUACCAAAGGCGAAGGCAGUGUCCUGGAAGGUACCUGACGCUGAGGCGCGAAAGCCAGGGGAGCGAACAGGAUUAGAUACCCUGGUAGUCCUGGCCGUAAACGAUGACCACCAGAUGUGCGGGGUAUCGACCCCCCGCGUGUCGUAGCUUACGUUAUGAGUG
rnacentral:rRNA from 1 species